rnacentral:tRNA from 1 species
GGAUGUGGCUCAGUGGUAGAGUGCUAUGCCUAGUAUGCAUGAGGCCCUGGGUUCAAUCCCUAGCACCA